UUGCAUAAUGAUGCUUUGAGGGGGUCUGUUUUCCUUUCAAUGAAGGUUUAGGUGAUAGAGGUGAAAAAGCUAUGUUUAUAUCUCUGUGAUCCUCAGACUUUUAGUUUCUUCUGGGACUGAGCGUGUCAGAAGGGCUUUUGGUGAACAUCAGGGAAUGGGGAGGAAGUAGAGAUGGACAUGGCAAAGCAUGCGGAUAACCGACAUUCCAGGCGAGAAAACACCAUUGCUGUUGUACAAAGGUUCCUGUGUUGCCCCUGCUUCCAGACGGGUGAGAACGACCGCUUAGAGUACAAUCAGGAAAAGCCACAGAAUCCCACGGCUGUCGUGGAUGAAGAGAACAUCCAUAUCGUUGUUGAAAAUUUGGGAAUAGACAACCCUGGAUUUAGCCUUUCUGAAGUUGAGCACUGCGGUCCACUUCAACAGAUCACCAUGGGCCGUUCUGCAAGUUCUGUGUCCAUGUGCCAAAGAGCAGCUCUGAAGAAGAAACUCGCACCACUUUCCUCUUUACCUCUUCAGUCUAGAGUGAUCCAGAACAGUGAGGACGACUCUACUGUUGAGUCUCUUCUGUAUGGUUCUGGCAGCACUAAUGUUGGAGAUGGUGGUCUUCUCACUCCACCAGUCAUUAACCUCAUACCUCCGACACCUUCCGACGUAAUAGAUGAUGACCAGUUCUUUGACAUAAACUCAGAAGAAGAGAGUCUGCAGCAAACCUCAGGCAGCGAAGGAGUGGACAGUAUUGGCAGUGCUGCUAUGGGAGAGCAAGAAAGCGAAGAAGAUGUAGACCAAGACUUGGAGUCUGAAGGUAAUCAUAAGACCAAAGAUGAAGAACAUCCACAGGUGGAGCCUCCAGAGGAAGAAACGGCCAAGAAGAAGAGCAUUGACAAGUCUACAAUCCACUUCCUGCGUAGCACCUUUCAUGUACCCCCACUUCCUGAAUACCCACGAACAAGAAGCCUCAAUACUGGAAUCAGUUUGCUGCAGUUCACUGAACAUAAUCUGGAUGACCUGAGCAACAAGGAUGCCUGCAGCCAUGAGUUGCUAAAGGAAGAGUUGAGGCUACUACCGCUGAGCAGUAAGAUAAGCAUGUUAACUCACCAAAAGAAACCAGCCACUAGGUCCUGUAGUUUGGGCGAUACGGUGCCAAAAAGUCAUACCUUUCACUCCACAUGUCAAGGAAGAGAUGAAAUCCUUGAAGAUGAGGAAUCCCCACGUCAAAGGAGGAUAACUGUUGCAUCGUACAUUCCUCAGUCCAAGGACCAUUCUGGAAAAAGUGUAGUGAAGUGGGAUUCUAAUGGGUACAGAGCCAAACCUUUAGCAGAGCUGAACACGGAGGAGGUUUGCCUGUGGUUUAGUAAUAUUGGUCUACAUAAAUGCCUGCCUUUCAUUAGAGAGGCAGAGUUCAGUGGAUCUCACAUCGCUUCUAUUGAUCUCAACACCCUCGAAAUCCUUCAAGUGUCCAAUCUGGAGGAGAGAGAGAGGCUGCUGUCUGCCAUUUACCAUGAGUUACACCCGCCAAACUCCACCACCCAAAGACUCGACUCCCUCCUUGAAAGGUUUGGUCCACACAAUGUUGAGAAAUUCACAGCAGCUUUGGUGUCCAUGACCAAGUCAAAAUCUUCUCCUCAAGUCAACAGCAUCAACAUGAGCCAAUGUUCAUUCAAAUUUAGACAGAAAGAACUAAAUGCAAGAUUUCAGAAGAACUCACAUCUCAUUGAAAUCACAGUCAAUGCGUCAGAUCGAACAGUUCAUUUAAGGACACCCAAAGAGACAAGUGUGGGAAAAGUGGUGGAGUCCUGUCUGAGGAUGCUGGGAAUUAAUGAAGACAAAGAUAACUUCAACCUGAAAAGCAGUGAAGAUGAGUUCUUCCCUGAGCAGCAGAUUGGAGAUUUGCCUGGCUCAGAGAUGAGACUAAUGGAGCUUCACUUAUAUAGGAAGGAAACACAGAAAACGGGUCCUUAUUCAUCAGAUAACAACAUUAUUUGUCCCACUGACAAUAUUCAGAGCAUAAAUCUGCUAAACAACACUGGGAAGAUUCAAGAGCUAAAUCAACAGGUGGCCUCCCUUCAAAACGUCAUCAUACAGGUUCAGGAGCUUUACCAUGAUCUGGUAGCCUUCUGUUCAGAGCUGAAGAAGAUGGAGGGGGAGAUGGAUGCCGUGCAAACAGACAGUUUUGAAGUGAAGAGGCUUCUCAGUGAGGCCCAGGACAAUCUGCAGAGGAAAAGACAGACCCUUCAAACGCUCAUGGACAAUCUUAACACUGCACCAGUGCUGAAGAAUAAGCCAUCAGAGGUCCGACUUCUGGAGAAGAUGAGGCUAAACUGCCAGGUGUUUAAAGACGAGAUCAUACUAGUUCACCUCAAUCGACAGGUGGCUCACCUGCAUGAAGUUCUGGAGAAGACACAGGCCAAGGAGAAAGCCGAGAGGAAGAGCCCUACUCUGACUCAGCUGGUCUCUUUGCAGUCUCCUGUCAUGCUGGUGGCCACCCAAGUGAAAGCAGGCCCAGACGGUCAUUAUGGUUUCUCUGCGCACUGGAUAGAGGGCCAGGGUCUGAUGGUGGUACACAGUAAGGGUGCUAAUCUCUGCCUGAAUGACAGGCUGGUGGAGGUAAAUGGAGUGAACGUCUUGGGGAGCAGUGAGGAUGAGUUGGAGUUGAUGCUUAAGACACACACUGCCCACAUCGUUGUUCUUCGCCAGCUGGCCCAAGAAUGCCCACAGGAAGACCCUUCUGCCCCCACUUUAGGCAGACUUCAGCUCUGAGGGAUCACCAGGACAUACAAGUGCUGCAGUAACACCAAGCAAUGUAGUUUGCGGAUCAGACAGAGCUGUCGGCGAUUCUUCCUAUUGUGAAAUCAUGCAAUGUGAAAGCUCCUGUCGCCGAUCCAUCGUGCAAUGUGAACACAGCAGCGACUGAAUGCUACCCUAGAUAGUCAUGCAGUGUGAAAACAACUGUGAUCCGAGUUUGAAAAUCGUGCAGUGUGAACUUGGCAUUACAGAGGUCUAUCUUUGCGCUGCGCUCACACUCAAGCUUUAAAUGGGGCAUGAAUGAAGCCUGCAUCAAUGAGGCCAUUGAAGACACCACUGUUUGGAUUUAUGUUCUCAAACAACAUGCUUCUGAUGAACCAGAAAACUGUAAUAAAAUUACAGUUGAGCCACUGAUGUCACAUGGACUAUUUUACCAAUGUUCUUAUACAUUUCUGGGUCUGGGGACAUUUCUGUUGCAUUGCUGUCUAUGGAGGGUCAGAAAGCUCGCGGAUUUCAUCAAAAACAUCUUAAUUUGUGUUCUGAAGAUGAACGAAGGACUUACGGGUAUGGAACAACAUGAAGGGUGAAUAAUUAAAGACAGAAUUUUCAUUUUUGGAUGAACUAACCCUUUAAGAUGCAUGGUUAACCUUGGCAGUGCACUAUAACAAGCUCUUGCUCUAUUUCAACUUAUUCUCUUUGUACCAUUUUUGGAUUACUUAAGUGUUUUGUGUUUUCUUCAGAAUUGUAACAGUUUCCUAUUUUGUAUAUGCACUUUUAAGUCUACUGUGACAGUUAAUAUUUUUUACAAAUGUCUUUGCUGUUCUUAAUCGACAGUGACAACAGUUAAGUAGGUUUAUAAAUGUCUUGCCCUUCUUAAUCCACUUUGAGGAUACAUUAUGUAUGUGUUUGAAUAUGCUGCUGAUACAGCCUUUAAAGUGUUGUUUUGAUACUUCUGUGUAAUCAAUUAAUGGCAGAUGUGCUCAGUCCUCCAUAUUUGCCAAUUUGAAAAGUUUGACAAAUCAAUACAGCAAAAUUUAAGUACCAACUCUUGCUUUUUGCCUUUAUUGUUGUUAAUGCCAGUAUGCAUUUUUAGAUUUAUGAUUUUGUAUUCACACAUUUGCAUGUCUAUAAUACUAGCCAGCAGCCAUACAACCUGUAGCCCAAGACCGGUUACCCACUGAAGCUAAGCAGGGUUGAGCCUGGUCAGUACCUGGAUGGGAGACCUCCUGGGAAAAACUAGGUUGCUGCUGGAAGAGGUGUUAGUGAGGCCAGCAAGGGGUGCUCACCCUGUAGUCUGUGUGGGUCCUAACCAAGGUUAUUUUCGUAAACGAAAACUGAACAGCUGAACAGCCAAUCAGAAUGAUCAGAUGGCCCGACUGCCCGACGAGCUCCGACGCCGAUUCAACAUGUAGAAUCGGCCGAAAAAACGCCGACGAGGACCAACUUCAGCCGACGGCGCAGAACACACUGAGAAAACUAGUCGGACGACGAACAAAAACUGCCCGACAGCCAACUGUCGGCUUGGUGUGUACCGGGCUUUAGAGUUGCAAAACUGAAGAUGAGCCACUAAUGUCACAUGGACUGUUUUACCGAUGUAUUUACUAUGUUUAUGAACCUGAGAACAUUUCAAUUGCAUUGUUGUCUAUGGGAGGGUCAGAGAGCUCUCUGAAUUCAUCAAAAACAUCUUAAUUUGUGUUCCGAAGAUGACCGAAGGUCUUACAGGUUUGGAAUGACAUGAGGUUCUUGAAAUGCGUCCAGACCUGUCAUCUGUGUAUGGAAGACCUGAGGAUGCCACAGCAUGAAUAUUCCCAUCAUCACAGCAAGAAUUGCUCCAGCGCACCGACUGUCAGACAUAGCUGCUAAAGUUUAUGGAGCAGAAACAUUUGCCACAUGCAGAUGUAUAGCGCAUUUCUGAGGGAUCGCCUUCCCUCUGGCCAAAAACCUCCAUAUAUGCAUUCUGUUAGGAUCUAAAGCCAGUAAAAAUAGUUUGGCCUCUUUUAGAGGGAAAAAAGUUUCGCUUAACAAACGGAGGGGGCAGCUCAGCAUUUCAGAGUUGUUUUUUUGGGGGGUGUUGAAGCAAAGUGAGGGUGGCUGUGGCUUUUCGGGGCUUUCUGGCAGGCUGUACUUUAACUUAAUAGCCAGUGCAAUAUGUCUAGAGGACACCGACUGGUAUGUGUGUGUACCGCAUUCAAAGACUAUAUCAGCUCUACAGGGUCGCUGACGUAUCGUUUAACAUGGACACGUUUAUCCUUGUAAUGUAUACGAUGUGUAUUGUUAGUGUCAGUUGAUAUUUAAAUAUAAACCCAGAGCAUUUCGACCUUACGGUGUGUGUACAGAGUUAAACAGCUGCAGCCAAUCGAUCCAAGUACACACAAUUUAACCAUCUAUCCUUUCACUCCCUCUUUACAUCCGAAUGAGUCAUUCAAGGCAAGGACAUUUAGAUAUCUGCCAAGUUCCAUAAUAACCUGCAGUGACAAUCUUGUCUCCAUUUACUCCAAACAUCACUGGAUAGACUCAGGACUAUCGCCCAAAAUGGGUCACUAAAGAUGAUGGAAAGGAGUCUGUUAUUAACAACAUAUGCUGUUUUAGCAUAUAUGCAUUUUUGGACGGUAUUUACAGGAGGAAGAUGUUCUAGUUGUGCACUCUUGCAUUGCGCUUGUUGGCUGACCCUCAAAUCAUACAGUAACACCCCUGGGCGUCUGUUCUGUUUUAGUAUUGUAGAUAUGACCAACUCCAGCUUUCCAGAUAAGCAGAAGCAGACAUCUGUCUCUCUCUCUGAACUCAGCACUUCCAGGUUCAUCUCUCUCCCAUCUGCCCCCCAUAACUUGAGCUCCACUCCUGCCCACCCGACAUUUAAAGAGCUCCUGGCAUUUGUUUGAAGUUAGUGUAGGCAUUAGCUCUGGUUUCCUGCUUCAAAUCCCUAUGCAGACCCAAUAAAAGGUCUGUAGGUUGAAAAUUCACUAAAGUAGAUUACUGUCUGUACAGAAAUGUAAUACAAACAAACUUGGCAUUUACUGGCUAUUAUGAGGAAAUUUCUCUGGCACUCAGUGACCUUCCCCCUCAUGAGGCUUUAUGGUUAGUCUGAGAUAGACAGGAACUCCUUGCAAUCCCCACCAGCAUUACUAGUUUUACCACUUAAUUGACAGCUGUCCAGUUAUGCAGAUUUGUACUGUAUAUAAAAUAUUGCAUAUAAGUAACGUUGCAUGAGUAAGAGAGAAUGAGAGUGAGACUGCUUUCUUAAAAAUUCAACAAACUAAUAAAACCAUAUCCAAAGGAAAA